CUACGGGUCGCAGCAGUGGGGAAUAUUGCACAAUGGAGGAAACUCUGAUGCAGCAACGCCGCGUGGAGGAUGACACUUUUCGGAGCGUAACUCCUUUUAUAUAGGAAGAAGAUGACGGUACUAUAUGAAUAAGCGCCGGCUAACUCCGUGCCAGCAGCCGCGGUAAUACGGAGGGCGCAAGCGUUACUCGGAAUCACUGGGCGUAAAGAGCGUGUAGGCGGAUUAAAAAGUCAGAAGUGAAAUCCUAUAGCUUAACUAUAGAACUGCUUCUGAAACUCUUAAUCUAGAAUAUGGGAGAGGUAGAUGGAAUUUCUGGUGUAGGGGUAAAAUCCGUAGAGAUCAGAAGGAAUACCGAUUGCGAAGGCGAUCUACUAGAACAUUAUUGACGCUGAGACGCGAAAGCGUGGGGAGCAAACAGGAUUAGAUACCCCAGUAGUC
rnacentral:rRNA from 1 species